CAGUAGCCGCGGGAAUACAGAGGGUGCGAACGUUGCUCGGAAUUACUGGGCGUAAAGCGCGUGUAGGCGGGUCGGCAAGUCAGGCGUGAAAUCCCCAGGCUCAACCUGGGAACUGCGCUUGAAACUGCCGGUCUUGAGUAUCGGAGAGGGUGGCGGAAUUCCUGGCGUAGAGGUGAAAUUCGUAGAUAUCAGGAGGAACACCGGUGGCGAAGGCGGCCACCUGGACGAUAACUGACGCUGAGACGCGAAAGCGUGGGGAGCAAACAGGAUUAGAUACCCCGGUAGUCCCUGUCUCUUAUAA
rnacentral:rRNA from 1 species